rnacentral:misc_RNA from 1 species
GUUAUAGCUGUUUCAGACAUGCUACAGUCAAUCCAAGUUAUGAAUGUUCCUUAGAUUUCAUUUAAAAUUGCUGUCGCCAUGGGAGACUGUUUUAUCUAUUAUUUGCUGUGUCAUUGUUCCUGGUUCUACCAUGUGGUAAUAUUCUUAUUGCUGGAAAGCAAAAGGAGAGUUGAAAUAAGUUCGUCCAACUUUCACUUGGCUUCAUGCUUGUCACUCUGACCGGAUCCACCUAUUAUGCAGCGAGACUUGGAUUGGAUUCUGCCUGAGCAACUGUGAUUUUUUUGGCAGGUGAUCACAAUUUUAACCAGCGACUUUAUUUUAUUUUAGAGUGACGGUGAUAUAUUGCAAAAUUUACCAAUGAAGAUAGAGCUGUAAUUACGAACAGUGUACCCAUGUAGUAUUUUGU